UACGUAGGGUGCAAGCGUUGUCCGGAAUUAUUGGGCGUAAAGAGCGUGUAGGCGGCCAGAAAAGUCCGCUGUGAAAACUCGAGGCUCAACUUCGAGCUGUCGGUGGAAACUUUCUGGCUAGAGUCCGGAAGAGGAGAAUGGAAUUCCUGGUGUAGCGGUGAAAUGCGCAGAUAUCAGGAAGAACACCCGUGGCGAAGGCGGUUCUCUGGGCCUGACCUGACGCUGGAGGAGCGAAAGCGUGGGGAGCGAACAGG
rnacentral:rRNA from 1 species